rnacentral:lncRNA from 1 species
AGCAGCCUAGUCAACCUGUGGAAGAGAAGGGGCUCCUCUGGGGAAACCUUAAGUACAAAGACAGGAGACUGGCCCAGCACAAGUCGGAAAUAGAGUGUUUCACCCCCAAAGGGAGUAUGGGGAAUGGUGGGAGAGCAACAAUGAGCAUUCCAAUGGAAAAUCCGUCACGUGGGCCCAGAAUGAGAAGAGCAGCCGGGGGCAGCACCUGUGGCAGCGCCUGUCCAUCCACAUCAACAAGAAAGAAAACCCCAACCAAACGGCCGUCAUCAAGCCCUU